rnacentral:RNase_P_RNA from 1 species
GAAGCGGGCCAGACCGCCGCUGGUGCAAGGCCCGAAAGGGCGCACUGGAGGAAGGUCCGGACUGCACAGGGCAGCGUAGCAGCCAACGGCUGUCCACCGUGAGGUGAGGAUCAGAGCAACAGAGACGAGUCGACCGGGCGCCGCAAGGCGUGCGAUCGGGUGAAACGGGCAAUCUCUACGCGCAGCAACACCAAAUAGGCCGGCGUGAACGGCGCGGGCGACCGCGCUGCUCGAAGUGUGGCUCCGCACGAGCCGGCGGGUAGGUGGCAUCGAGCCGCGCAGCGAUGCGCGGCCCAGAGGAAUGGCGGUCACGGUCGGCGCGUCGCAAGAGGCGCCGGCUGCACAGAAUCCGGCCUAUCGGCCCGCUUCACAC